AAAUUUAAACACGGGGACACUUUUGAAGGGUUCAGCCGGGCGAUGGUUGCCCCGGUCGUAAGGGACUGCAAGUGAGCGGGAAGUGAAUUUGGAAGAAGGCGAGAAAAGCUGUGUGAAUAGAAGAUAGAGCCCGUACCGCAAACCGACACAGGUAGAUAGGAAGAAGAUUCUAAGGCCAACGGGAGAAGGGUUGUUAAGGAACUCGGCAAGUUGACCCCGUAACUUAGGGAGAAGGGGUGCUCUUUAAGGAGAGCCGCAGAGAAUAGGCCCAAGCGACUGUUUAGCAAAAACACAGCUCUAUGCUAAAUCGAAAGAUGACGUAUAUGGGGUGACACCUGCCCGGUGCCGGAAGGUUAAGAGGAGGAGUGAGAGCACUGAAUUGAAGCCCCGGUAAACGGCGGCCGUAACGAUAACGGUCCUAAGGUAGCGAAAUUCCUUGUCAGGUAAGUUCUGACCCGCACGAAUGGUGUAACGAUUUGGGCACUGUCUCAACAACCUGCCCGGCGAAAUUGUAGUACCGGUGAAGAUGCCGGUUACCCGCGACUAGACGGAAAGACCCCAUGGAGCUUUACUGCAGCUUAAUAUUGAAUUUCGGUAUUUCAUGUACAGGAUAGGUGGGAGACAGGGAACCAUAGGCGUCAGCUUAUGGGGAGUCGACCUUGGGAUACCACUCUUGAGGUGCUGGAAUUCUAACCUGUGGCUCUGAAUCGAGUCAGGGGACAUUGUUAGGCGGGCAGUUUGACUGGGGCGGUCGCCUCCAAAAAGGUAACGGAGGCGCUCAAAGGUUCGCUCAGCAUGGAUGGAAACCAUGCUUUUGAGUGUAAACGCAAAAGCGAGCCUAACUGCGAGACUGACGGGUCGAGCAGUAACGAAAGUUGGAGUUAGUGAUCCGGCGGUAUGUGAGUGGAAAUGCCGUCGCUCAACGGAUAAAAGCUACCCUGGGGAUAACAGGCUGAUCUCCCCCAAGAGUCCACAUCGACGGGGAGGUUUGGCACCUCGAUGUCGGCUCAUCGCAUCCUGGGGCUGAAUUCGGUCCCAAGGGUUUGGCUGUUCGCCAAUUAAAGCGGUACGCGAGCUGGGUUCAGAACGUCGUGAGACAGUUCGGUCCCUAUCCGUCGUGGGCGUAGGAUAUUUGAAAGGAGCUGUCCCUAGUACGAGAGGACCGGGAUGGACGCACCGCUGGUGCACCAGUUGUCAUGCCAAUGGCACAGCUGGGCAGCUAUGUGCGGAACGGAUAAACGCUGAAGGCAUCUAAGCGUGAAGCCGACCUUAAGAUAAGAUAUCCCUUCGUAAGAGUAAGACCUCUCAUAGACUAUGAGUUUGAUAGGCCUAAGAUGUAAGCACAGUGAUGUGUUCAGCCUGCAGGUACUAAUCGGUCGAGGGCUUUUC
rnacentral:rRNA from 1 species